UGGCGGACGGGUGAGUAAUGUCUGGGAAACUGCCUGAUGGAGGGGGAUAACUACUGGAAACGGUAGCUAAUACCGCAUAACGUCGCAAGACCAAAGAGGGGGACCUUAGGGCCUCUUGCCAUCGGAUGUGCCCAGAUGGGAUUAGCUAGUAGGUGGGGUAACGGCUCACCUAGGCGACGAUCCCUAGCUGGUCUGAGAGGAUGACCAGCCACACCGGAACUGAGACACGGUCCAG
rnacentral:rRNA from 1 species